rnacentral:misc_RNA from 1 species
GAUGAAGAACGUAGCGAAAUGCGAUAAGUAAUGUGAAUUGCAGAAUUCAGUGAAUCAUCGAAUCUUUGAACGCACAUUGCGCCCCUUGGUAUUCCGAGGGGCAUGCCUGUUCGAGCGUCAUUAUAACCCCUCAAGCUCAGCUUGGUGUUGGGGCCUGCUGCACUGGCAGCCCUUAAAAUCAGUGGGCGCCAUCUGGCUCUAAGCGUAGUAAUUCUUCUCGCUAUGGAGUCCUGGUGGAUGCUUGCCAUCAACCCCCAAUUUUUCUAUGGUUGACCUCGGAUCAGGUAGGGAUACCCGCUGAACUUAAGCAUAUCAAUAAGCGGAGGA